UGGGGAUUCGUCUAAGGGUAGGACAGCAGACUCUGGAUCUGUAUGUGGGGGUUCGAAUCCUCCAUCCCCAGCCA
rnacentral:tRNA from 5 species